AUUAUGGCUGUAACAAGACAUUGAGAAAGAUGUGCAAUUUUUUAUGUCAAUGAAUAGACAUUUUUUUCUGAUGACUUUUCAGUGUUGAAAUUAGUUGAAACAUCUGAUCUGUUUGUCAUUAUUGCUGCAGGAAUCCAAUAUUUUCUGUAAGAUUUCAAGAUUGCUGCAACUGCUGAAAGAUGCGGGCAGGACAUCGAGGUUCCAGAGAUUAUGUUGUAAUUGAUGGAUCGCCCACCAGUGCAGUUGAUACCGGGGACCAAGCUGCCAAAAUAUUCAGACAAGAUUUUGGGUUCAAAACAUUUGCCUGUUGGAGCAAUUCUUGCUAUUGGUUUCCUGUAGUCAGAGAAGUGUUUAGUAGUUUUCAUUUCAGUAAUGUCA